GCAAAUUCGGGCUGAUGCUGGCUUCUCGACUGUGCCCGCUGUUCGGCAUGGACGUCUGGGCACAAGCUGUCUAUUAUGCCAACUUCAACGCUCCUAUGAAUGGUCCUCAAUGACAUUAUGAAAGUCGAUGUAGGACAUAAACGGCCAUACCAUCGAACACUUCACGAUGAAAUGCUUCACAUGCAGCGCCUGCCUGUCCACCCUUGUCUCUUCAUCAGGCUCACUCUCAGUGCCCUCCUUUCUCUCUACCUAGAAGUCUAUUAUUCUGCUCAUCUGUCUGUCUGAAUUUCACCAUCCGCAUUUGUCUGUCCAACUGUCUGUUGCAUAUCUGUGCGCUUAUCUGCUUCAUUGUCUGUCCACGUUUCUCUUUCUGCCUCUCUCUGUAUGUCCUUGUGACAGCGCUUCAAUGUGUCCCUCUGAGGUCUUUAGUCUGUUCCUGACUGCGUAUGUCCCUUCAUCUGCCUCCGGCUGUCUGUCCUUCGGUCUACAUUUAUAAACAUGUCUGUCUCUGCACUUAUGUUCGCGCCCAUCUCUGUCUGUCAUCGUUUGUCUGCGCAUCCAUCUUCUUCAAUUUUCGUUAUAUAUCAGCCUAGUCUUUUCGAACAUCUGUCGACACUCCCGUACGUACAAUUUUCUUUCCGUCCAUCCGUGUGUGUGUCUGUCCUUUCAUCUGUCCUGUCUUGUUUUCUGCCCGUUAGUGCGUCUCUUCUUAGGUGGCCUUUCUGCAUAUCUAUACAUCUGUCUGUGUCUCUGAAUGUCUGUUCCUCUCUUCAUGCAAUCUUUUCACGACCCGUCUGUGUGUCUGCACGUUUAUCCUGCCCGUCAACUAGUCUCUCCGUACGUGGGUUUUUUUUGUGUAUAUAUCAGUCUGUUCAUUUGUCUGUAAAUCUAUAUGCGUCUAUAACCAUCUGUUCGUCCAUUCUUUUGGCUGUCUGUAUGCAUCUGUGUCCUUAGCUUAUCCGUCAAUCUGUCUCUCUACACGUGGGUUUCCAGUCUACCUGUCGAUACAGCCUUUUGUCUGUUUCUACGUAUAUCUCUCUCUUGCUCCUUUCUAGUUACCAUCCGUCUGUCUGCAUCUGUUCCUCUAUCUUUCUAUUUUUGCGUCUAUGUUUCUCUAUCCAUUCGUUCAACCAUCUUUGCAUCCAUUCACCACUCUGUCUGACUGUCAGUAUUAUCGAUGCGAAGCUCCUUACGUCGUCGGUCGGCCCCCUUCUCUGUAGUAGUAGUAUGAAACCACCUCAUGUUUGAGCUGCACAAUAGAUGGCAUUGUAUAUGCCGUUUAAAAUAAUUUAACUAGAUG